AAACUGGGGUUAAUUCCCGAUGGGUGAGGGGGCCUGGAAUGGUUCUUCACUGAAAGGGCGCUAGAGGCAUGCUCUCUAACGUUGCCCAAGGAUGGGGCCGCGGCCGAUCAGGUUGUUGGUGAGGUAACGGCUUACCAAGCCUAUAACCGGUACGGGCCGUGAGAGCGGAAGCCCGGAGAUGGGCACUGAGAUAAGGGCCCAGGCCCUACGGGGCGCAGCAGUUGCGAAAACUCCGCAAUGCACGAAAGUGUGACGGGGCUACCCCAAGUGCCGUCCGCUGAGGAUGGCUUUUCUCCGCUGUAAGGAGGCGGAGGAAUAAGGAGAGGGCAAGACUGGUGUCAGCCGCCGCGGUAAUACCAGCUCUCCGAGUGGUAGGGGUGAUUAUUGGGCUUAAAGCGUCCGUAGCCGGCCUGGCAGGUCUUCCGUUAAAUCCAGCAACCUAAUUGUUGGGCUGCGGGGGAUACUGUUAGGCUUGGGGGCGGGAGAGGCCGACGGUAUUCUCGGGGUAGGGGUGAAAAUCUUAUAAUCCCGAGAGGACCACCAGUGGCGAAGGCUGUCGGCUAGCACGCGCCUGACGGUGAGGGACGAAAGCUGGGGGAGCGAACCGGAUUAGAUACCCGGGUAGUCCCUGCUGUAAACGAUGCGAGCUAGGUGUUGGGGCGGCUACGAGCCGCUUCAGUGCCGCAGCGAAGGCGUUAAGCUCGCCGCCUGGGGAGUACGGCCGCAAGGCUGAAACUUAAAGGAAUUGGCGGGGGAGCACCACAAGGCGUGAAGCUUGCGGUUCAAUUGGAGUCGACGCCGGGAACCUUACCGGGGGCGACAGCAGGAUGAAGGCCAGGUUGAUGGUCUUGCUGGACGAGCUGAGAGGAGGCGCAUGGCCGUCGUCAGUUCGUGCCGUGAGGUGUCCUCUUAAGUGAGGUAACGAUCGAGACCCGCGCCCCUUGUUGCUAACAGACUCCAUCGGGGUCUGUGCACACUAGGGGGACCGCCGUCGAUAAGACGGAGGAAGGAGCGGGCCACGGCAGGUCAGUAUGCCCCGAAUCCCCCGGGCCACACGCGAGCUGCAAUGGCAGGGACAAUGGGUGUCGACUCCGAAAGGAGGAGGUAAUCUCUAAACCCUGCCUCAGUUGGGAUCGAGGGCUGAAACCCGUCCUCGUGAAUAUGGAAUGCCUAGUAAUCGCGCGUCAUCAUCGCGCGGUGAAUACGUCCCCGCUCCUUGCACACACCGCCCGUCGUUCCAUCCGAGUGGGGUUUGGGUGAGGCGUAGUCCUUGGUGGCUGCGUCGAACUCAGGUUCCGCAAGGAGGG
rnacentral:rRNA from 1 species